rnacentral:pre_miRNA from 1 species
CCAUGCUUCCUUACUUCCCAUAGCGAUAUGACAUAUGGAAUGUAAAGAAGUAUGGAG